rnacentral:pre_miRNA from 1 species
CGUGAGCUCAAACCAUUACGGUUUGUCCAGGCCUUGUGACCCUGGAUGGGCACUUUGGGUCACAAGGCCUGGACAAACCGUAAUGGUUUGAGCUCACGAGUGGAA